rnacentral:rRNA from 1 species
AACGAACGCUGGCGGCAUGCCUAACACAUGCAAGUCGAACGAGACCUUCGGGUCUAGUGGCGCACGGGUGCGUAACGCGUGGGAACCUGCCCUUAGGUUCGGAAUAACUCCCCGAAAGGGGUGCUAAUACCGGAUAAUGUCUUCGGACCAAAGAUUUAUCGCCUUUGGGUGGGCCCGCGUUGGAUUAGCUAGUUGGUAGGGUAAAAGCCUACCAAGGCGACGAUCCAUAGCUGGUCUGAGAGGAUGAUCAGCCACACUGGGACUGAGACACGGCCCAGACUCCUACGGGAGGCAGCAGUGGGGAAUAUUGGACAAUGGGCGAGAGCCUGAUCCAGCAAUGCCGCGUGAGUGAUGAAGGCCUUAGGGUUGUAAAGCUCUUUUACCCGGGAUGAUAAUGACAGUACCGGGAGAAUAAGCUCCGGCUAACUCCGUG